rnacentral:tRNA from 1 species
AGGGAAGUAGUUAAAGAUAAUAAUGCGUGGUUGUCAGCCUCAAGAUGUCGGUUUAUCCGACCUUUCUUA